GCUCUCCGUCUGCUCCAGUUGAAGACGAUGGUUAUCAGAUUUUGAUAAAAUCUCAAUCGAUUCAUGAUCAGGUUUAGAUCAUUUUAAUCUUCUCCACCGUUUCCCCCUCUCUCAAUCCCAAGAGCCUAUGGAAGAUGUUCUAAACACAAACAGAUCUGAUUCGAAAGAGUCACUUUAAGACAAGAAGCACGGAGUUAUCAUUCUCCUAGUUGUCUGCUUUUUAUCAAGAGAGAGGUGUGUAUUUUGAUGGUUGGUCUCAUUAUUUAAAGGUUUAUUUGGUAACAGACAGUUACAGGGAGCUUUUAAGGAGUACCAUGGACGUCGGUAAAGGGAGUCAUGGAGACAGUAUGGAACUUGCAAGAUUUCAGGUGUUCAAGUUGAGGUGUGUGUCUUGAUGCUGCUGGCAAGACUACCAUUUUAUAGAAGCUCAAGCUUGGAGAGAUUGUAACCUAAUUCCUACCACUACCUGAAACAAAAGGUGUCGAAACUGUUUGGAAUCGUUGAAUUAGAGAUACAUUUUGGGGAGGAAAAAAAGAAAACCAAGAUAGGAUCAAUUGAUUCAAUCAGCAGCUUCAUUUUGUUCUAAGCACAACUCCGAUGUGGAUAGGGGGAUGAAGGUCAAAGAUGCUAAAGAUGGGUCCUACCCCUAAUGCUUCUCUGCUCGCAACCCAAGAUAUUGCAAGAUGGUGAUAGGUUAACUGCUAAACCAUCCUAUAAACCUGCCAUUAUUCAGAAAGAGGUUGGCGUGGUUGAUAUUUGUUUUAGUUUGUGCAGACUAGAGUGGCAGUCUGGCUAUCAUGAAUGUUGGAUUUUCUGUAUUUUUGU